UACGAAGGGGGCUAGCGUUGUUCGGAAUCACUGGGCGUAAAGGGCGCGUAGGCGGUCUUGUAAGUCGGGGGUGAAAGCCUGUGGCUCAACCACAGAAUUGCCUUCGAUACUGCGAGGCUUGAGACCGGAAGAGGUCAGUGGAACUGCGAGUGUAGAGGUGAAAUUCGUAGAUAUUCGCAAGAACACCAGUGGCGAAGGCGGCUGACUGGUCCGGUUCUGACGCUGAGGCGCGAAAGCGUGGGGAGCAAACAGG
rnacentral:rRNA from 1 species